CGUAGGGUGCAAGCGUUAAUCGGAAUUACUGGGCGUAAAGCGUGCGCAGGCGGUUAUGUAAGACAGGUGUGAAAUCCCCGGGCUUAACCUGGGAACUGCAUUUGUGACUGCAUAGCUAGAGUACGGUAGAGGGGGAUGGAAUUCCGCGUGUAGCAGUGAAAUGCGUAGAUAUGCGGAGGAACACCGAUGGCGAAGGCAAUCCCCUGGACCUGUACUGACGCUCAUGCACGAAAGCGUGGGGAGCAAACAGGAUUAGAUACCCUGGUAGUCCACGCCCUAAACGAUGUCAACUGGUUGUUGGGUCUUCACUGACUCAGUAACGAAGCUAACGCGUGAAGUUGACCGCCUGGGGAGUACGGCCGCAAGGUUGA
rnacentral:rRNA from 1 species